rnacentral:lncRNA from 1 species
AUGCAUCAUGCGGGGUCCCCUCUGGGUCUUCUUGCUCUGGGUGCUGAGAUGGGUGCUGGAGACACCCAGGAUGGGUGUCAGGGCCACCCCUGUGGGUCAAGCACUGACUGGGGUGCCCUGAGCUGUGGGUGCUGGGCUGUGGAGGGACAUCGUUUAAUGGUCUCUCUCUGGCAGGUGUUCCCGGGGUUGGAGUCCCAGGGGUUGGCGGCAUCCCAGGUGGCCUUGGAGUUGGUGGCCUUGGAGUCGGUGGCCUUGGAGUCGGUGGGCUCGGUGCUGGAAUCUUAUAUCCAGGAGCUGCUGGGAAACCUCCCAAGCCAGGUUUUGGUGUUGGGGGGCUGCAGCCAGGGGCUGGAGUUCCCGGCUUUGGCGUGUCACCGAUAUUUCCAGGUACCGUCCCCAGCCCAGUGCCUCGGCACGUACCCGGGGAACAUCUCGGUGCCUGGCUGGCUCACGGGGACAUGCAGAGCCCACGGGGCACGGGGACACGGCCAUGGCGUGGGGAGGGAUCCAGGGGACCGGUCUGAGCCAGGGGUUGCUUGGCUGGGGCGUGCGGGGCACAGCAACAUGGGUGCCCAGUGGGUGCUGAGGGCUUCGCUCUCCUUUCAGGUGGGGUUGCCGGCCAGCUGGGAUUCGCUGGUGAGUGUCCAUCCUCCCAGGGGAGCAUUUUUGGGGUGUUGGGGGGGGGUAUCCAUAUCCCCCCUGCACCCAGUGGCCAAGUGA